rnacentral:rRNA from 1 species
UACGUAGGGACCAAGCGUUGUUCGGAUUUACUGGGCGUAAAGGGCGCGUAGGCGGCAAUUCAAGUCAUCUGUGAAAUCUCCGGGCUUAACUCGGAACGGUCAGAUGAUACUGCUUUGCUAGAGUGCGGAAGGGGCAAUCGGAAUUCUCGGUGUAGCGGUGAAAUGCGUAGAUAUCGGGAGGAACACCAGUGGCGAAGGCGACUUCCUGGCCUGUUCUUGACGCUGAGGCGCGAAAGCUAGGGGAGCAAACGGG